rnacentral:lncRNA from 1 species
UUCGUGCCUUUCUCACUUGAUGCAUCUGCAUUGAAACAUUUGUUUUAUAAUCAGGCAAGUGAGAGGAAGCAAAAUCGUUAUUUCUACAAAUCUCCUGCUCUGGCAUGCAGAAAACAAUUAGAGGCAGAGUUAACAGAGAAAACUUUAAACAACUUGAAACUGCAUUUUCAGGCUAUGUUUUGCAGGGGUCUCCAAAGAUCUGAAAAUAUUAAACAUGAGCUCUGCAGCCUAUAAUGCAGGUUAAGAAGCGAUACAAUAAAAAAAUCUUCUGAGAAAUCACACAGGGCCUGCUGCAAAAGACCGACAGCUUAGAUGGAAAUAUCAUGGUCUACUGUGCACAUAAAUGAAUAGAUUACAGGCCUACUCUCUGUGGCACUCUUGGAAACCUGCAGCUCCAGUGUAUCGAGAGCCCAGCACACUGGGCUCGUCCUGCACAAGGCCGAAGGAGGCAGAGAAUAGAAGUAGAGCUGCCGAGAUGCCCACGCCAUCAGAAAUUCAACUCCAGAAGUCAUCAAGAUCAGACAGAGAAGUCAUCAAACAGCUUCCCCUGCGUCACUGUAAAUUCUUGGUGCCUCCACUCUGGGGCCUGACAAGUUUUUAGCUGCUGGCAAUUCAGGAAGGCAGGUCACAGCACAGGCCUGUGGCUGUAGGGGCCUAGAGGAUACGCAUACCUGGGAGCCAGGACAGGGGCACACACAGCACGACCGCCUACAGCCCCACAGCAGCAAACACUCGAGGAGCCUUUUUCAUCCUGAACAGCCUCUGCAGGCACUGAGCUCUCCUCUGCAGCUGAAACCCUCAGCGAUGUUUUGGCACCCAUCUCCUGCUUAGGCUUCACUUGCAGUAAGUAACAGAGAAGCCUUGAUGCAGUCUUGAUGGUCUGGGUCUGUGUUUAUGCAUCCAGCCUUUUGCAGAAGCAGUAAAUUCAAGUGUUAGCACACAGCUGUUACCAAGUGAAGACAAGCACAUGCUGUCCUCAUGUCUCACCUGUAACAAAGCAUCACUGACGCCAGUAAUUUCUCCCAGGCUGUCAACACCUACGCCUUCUCAGAAGCUGAACUUUGUUGGGAAAAAAAAGGAAGGAAAACUGUAAUGCACAGAAGAAGACUUUAGAUGUGGUUUCCUUCUGACAGAAGCUCAAAUAACAUCCUUCAGAGUGAAAAAGAUUGAGACACAGACCUAGAUUCAUCAAACAGGCGUGUGUUAGUGCUAAGAACAUCACGUACUUGCUACAGUUCAGACAAGUAAAAUCUAUUAGCCCUACUCUGCUGAAAAGCAAAAAGUCUUUAAUAUUAGUACUACUUUAAAAUGUUACACACUAUUGGAAGUGUGUUUUCUUGCCUUUGCAUUGGAAAAGGCCUGGAUAUAAAAACUAUCUGAAGCAUUAAGUUUGAAAAUAUAUUGAAAUGCCUCCUGGGGAGAUGGUUUUAAGAACCCUCAACCUUUUCUGUUGCAUGAUGCAGUAGGUGUCUUCAUGUUUUAGCCACCUUUGUGUCUCAGUAAUCCUAAGGGCCUGCAAUUUGCAGCUCUACAAGUCAGCCACUGAGGCAGUUGUUCCCUCUGUGCUGCCACGCAGGUGUUCUCUGAUUGUUCUCAUGAGGCUUCACCUGAAAAUCUCCGUAGUGUGACUGCAAGAAGCAGCCACAGCUGCUAGAUAAUCACCUCUCUUCCAGCCCUCCUUUUCUCCAUGUUUUGUAGAUUUCAGCUUAUAUUAAAGCAAACACUACACAAAAGAGUUAGGAGUAAUUUAAAUACUCAAUAAACAUCAUCCGACAAGGUAUGUGCA